AACGAACGCUGGCGGCAGGCUUAACACAUGCAAGUCGAGCGCUCGUAGCAAUACGGGAGUGGCGGACGGGUGAGUAACGCGUGGGAACGUGCCCUGAGGUACGGAAUAACUGCGGGAAACUGCAGCUAAUACCGUAUGAGCCCCGCAAGGGGGAAAGAUUUAUGGCCUUAGGAGCGGCCCGCGUCGGAUUAGCUAGUUGGUGGGGUAACGGCUUACCAAGGCUGCGAUCCGUAGCUGGUCUGGGAGGACGGUCAGCCACACUGGGACUGAGACCCGGACCAGGCUCGUACGGGAGGCAGCAGUGGGGAAUCGUGCGCAAUGGGGGCAAGCCUGACGGAGCCAUGGCGCGUGAAUGAUGAGGGGCUUAGGGUUGGAAAGUUCUUUUGCACGUGACGAUGAUGACGGUAACGGGAGAAUAAGCUCCGGCUAACUUCGUGCCAGCCGCCGCUGUAAGAC
rnacentral:rRNA from 1 species